rnacentral:rRNA from 1 species
GGGCUUAUGAACAGGUAUGAUGGACUGUUGCUGACUCCUCUGGGGGUCAUGUGCACGUCUGUCAUCUUUAUCUUUCCACCUGUGCACUUUCUGUAGAACUUGGGAGACUAACUUUCCGAGGUCAACUCGGUUGUGAGGAGUUGCAGGCCUUGAUUAACGGGUCAGCUCUCUUUGGAGGUCACCAAGGCUCUAUGUUUUUCACAUACACCUAAUGAAAUAUAAAAGAAUGUAAUCCAUGGGUCUUUGCACCUAUAUAAAGUUAUACAACUUUCAGCAACGGAUCUCUUGGCUCUCGCAUCGAUGAAGAACGCAGCGAAAUGCGAUAAGUAAUGUGAAUUGCAGAAUUCAGUGAAUCAUCGAAUCUUUGAACGCAUCUUGCGCUCCUUGGUAUUCCGAGGAGCAUGCCUGUUUGAGUGUCAUUAAAUUCUCAACCUCUACCAGCUUUGCUGCUUGGUAUUGGCUUGGACAUGGGGGUUAUUUGUGCAGGCUCUUCACAGAGUCAGCUCCCCUGAAAUGCAUUAGUGGUGACCUUUAUGGACAUUGGUGUGAUAACUAUCUACGCCGCUGAACAUAUUGUUGUUUGCUGCUUCUAACAGUCCAUUGACUUGGACAACAAUGACAAUUUUGACCUCAAAUCAGGUAGGAUUACCCGCUGAACUUAAGCAUAUCAAUAAGCCGGAGGGAAGG